AAGAAAACCGUUAUUUUUUACACUUAUUCACUGAAGAUUUUAAGUGACUUUUUGUGCACCCCUGAGUCCAGCUCACUCAGCCACCUUGUGUUAUUUGGCCUACACUGAUCUUGCAUUUUACUGUAGAUCUGCAAAGGAUCAUGGUCAAGAUUCAGUGGUGGGUGAAUUCUACAGUAAGCAUAUUUCUGCUGUGAAUCACAAUACGUUACCGUGAGGCAUGUCUAAGUAGCCUACUGAAGUGGACCAAAGCAAAACAGAGCCCCAAAACAGUGCAGGAAAGAAAACUUUAGUCCAAGAUGUGGAUUCCAGCAAAUGUAAAACAAAGCACUUGCACAUUUUUAUGUUUUUGUUCAGAACAGCAGUGUUUACAAAAAUAUGAAUUUAUUUAUUUAUUAUCUAUGUAUUUUAUGUUUUAAAAUGUUGAAAUUCAAUAAAUGAUUUUUUUGUUACAAA